rnacentral:rRNA from 1 species
UACGGGGGGAGCAAGCGUUGUUCGGAUUUACUGGGCGUAAAGGGCGCGUAGGCGGUCAGCACAAGUCAGUUGUGAAAUCUCCGGGCUUAACUCGGAAAGGUCAACUGAUACUGUGCGACUAGAGUGCGGAAGGGGCAACUGGAAUUCUCGGUGUAGCGGUGAAAUGCGUAGAUAUCGAGAGGAACACCUGCGGCGAAGGCGGGUUGCUGGGCCGACACUGACGCUGAGGCGCGAAAGCUAGGGGAGCGAACGGG